CCUACGGGGGGCUGCAGUGGGGAAUAUUGGACAAUGGGGGCAACCCUGAUCCAGCCAUGCCGCGUGUGUGAAGAAGGCCCUCGGGUUGUAAAGCACUUUCAGUGAGGAAGAACGCCUGGUGGUUAAUACCCAUCAGGAAAGACAUCACUCACAGAAGAAGCACCGGCUAACUCCGUGCCAGCAGCCGCGGUAAUACGGAGGGUGCGAGCGUUAAUCGGAAUUACUGGGCGUAAAGCGCGCGUAGGUGGCUUGAUAAGCCGGUUGUGAAAGCCCCGGGCUCAACCUGGGAACGGCAUCCGGAACUGUCAAGCUAGAGUGCAGGAGAGGAAGGUAGAAUUCCCGGUGUAGCGGUGAAAUGCGUAGAGAUCGGGAGGAAUACCAGUGGCGAAGGCGGCCUUCUGGACUGACACUGACACUGGGGUGCGAAAGCGUGGGUAGCAAACAGGAUUAGAUACCCUAGUAGUC
rnacentral:rRNA from 1 species